ACGGAAGGCAGCAGUGAGGAAUAUUGGUCAAUGGACGCAAGUCUGAACCAGCCAUGCCGCGUGCAGGAAUAAGGCCCUAUGGGUCGUAAACUGCUUUUGUGGUGGAGCAAUAAGUCGUACGUGUACGGCGAUGAGAGUACAUCACGAAUAAGCAUCGGCUAACUCCGUGCCAGCAGCCGCGGUAAUACGGAGGAUGCAAGCGUUAUCCGGAUUUAUUGGGUUUAAAGGGUGCGUAGGCUGUGGUCCAAGUCAGGGGUGAAAGCCCGGAGCUCAACUCCGGAACUGCCUUUGAUACUGGAUUGCUUGAAUACGGAUGCCGUGGGAGGAAUGAGUAGUGUAGCGGUGAAAUGCAUAGAUAUUACUCAGAACACCGAUUGCGAAGGCAUCUCACGAAUCCGUCAUUGACGCUGAGGCACGAAAGCGUGGGGAUCAAACAGGAUUAGAUACCCUGGUA
rnacentral:rRNA from 1 species